UCGCGGCUUAUCACCGGCAGUCCCCUUAGAGUGCCCAUCCGAAAUGCUGGCAACUAAGAUCAAGGGUUUCGCUCGUUGCGGGACUUAACCCAACAUCUCACGACACGAGCUGUCGACAGCCAUGCACCACCUGUGAUCCUGCCCCGAAGGGAAACCGUGUUUCCACGGCGGUCAGGAACAUGUCAAGCCCAGGUAAGGUUCUUCGCGUUGCGUCGAAUUAAACCACAUGCUCCGCUGCUUGUGCGGGCCCCCGUCAAUUCCUUUGAGUUACAGUCUUGCGACCGUACUCCCCAGGCGGCGAACUUAACGCGUUAGCUUCGAUACUGCGUGCCAAAUUGCACCCAACAUCCAGUUCGCAUCGUUUAGGGCGUGGACUAC
rnacentral:misc_RNA from 1 species